rnacentral:rRNA from 1 species
CUUUACAAAUGCCACAGCCAUCACCCUACAGCCCAAUACUGGUUGCUAACUGAAGCUAAGCAGGUCUGUGCCUAAUCAGUAUCUGGAUGAGAGACCACAUGGGAAAACUUGUUCUUGGAAGAGG